UACAGGGGGUGCAAACGUUGCUCGGAAUCAUUGGGCGUAAAGAGCUCGUAGGCGGUUUGUCGCGUCUGCUGUGAAAACUCGGGGCUUAACCCCGGGCCUGCAGUGGGUACGGGCAGACUAGAGUGCGGUAGGGGAGACUGGAAUUCCUGGUGUAGCGGUGAAAUGCGCAGAUAUCAGGAGGAACACCGGUGGCGAAGGCGGGUCUCUGGGCCGAUACUGACGCUGAGGAGCGAAAGCGUGGGGAGCGAACAGG
rnacentral:rRNA from 1 species